GGAAGGGGGAGGAGUGGGUGUUUUAAUGCCCUCAGGCCUGGGCAGGUGUCCUGGAACAUUCCUGUGGUUUAUCUCGGAACAAUAACCUAAGGGGUGGGGUGCUUGACUAAAUUGUCGGUUUAGCAUGGAGGUCGCCAAGCCUCUUGUAAAGGAGACUUUUGUAUCUGACCAGGGCUGGCUCCUGACAUGUCCUGGAACUCUGUAGACCAGGCCUGCCUUGGACUCACAGAGAUCUGCCUGUCUUUAUCUCCCAAGUGCUGGGAUUAAAGCUAGAGUUAUCUAACAAGGGGGAACCUCAAUGGAGAGAAAAUGCCUUCAUUGGAUUGAUUUGAAGACAAGCCUGUGGGCCUUUUUUCUGGAUUGAUGAUUGAUAUGGGAGGACCCAUUGUACUGUGGGUGGUGCCAUCCCAGACCAGGUGGUCUGGAGCUGUUUAAGAAAGCAGACAAAACAAGCCAAGAUGAGCAAGCUAAUAAUCACUGUUCUUCCAUGGUCUCUGCUUCAGUUCUUGGCCCGACUUCCUUUCAUGAUAGACUGUAAACUGUAAACUGAAACAAGGUAAAAAGGACAAUAGAGGCCUGGCCUGGCUUGUGAAGCUUCUGAAGGAAGUGUGAGAGUGUCUCAACUCUGUCAAGGUAGUUCCUGUGAUAGAUUUAAAGUAAGAAUCUGUGGUAUCUGGUCACCAGGAGCUGAAGAGUCUUUGUGAUCAACAAGAGGCCAGUACCACUGAGGCUAAACCUUUGCUGUACUGUAGUGGUUCUCAACCUUCCUAAUGCUCUGACCCCUUGCUACAGUUCCUUGUGUGGUGACCCUCAACCAUAGUCAUUUUCGUUGUUACUUCAUAACUGUAAUUUUGCUACUGUUAUGAAUUGUAGUGUAAACAUCUGAUAUGCAGGAUAUCUGGUAUGUAACCCCUGUGUAAUGGUCCUUUGUCACUGAAGGGGUCAUGACCCACAGGUUGAGAACCACUGCUUUACUGGGACAAUUGAUGCUGGUUAGCUGGAGCUGAGAAAUCAACUGUGGUUAAGAGGAG
rnacentral:lncRNA from 1 species